GUUGAACGCUGGCGGCAUGCCUAACACAUGCAAGUCGAACGAGUGGCGGACGGGUGAGUAAUGUCUGGGAAACUGCCUGAUGGAGGGGGUUAACUACUGGAAACGGUAGCUAAUACCGCAUACCAUCAGAUGUGCCCAGAUGGGAUUAGCUUGUUGGUUGGGUAACGGCUCACCAAGGCGACGAUCCCUAGCUGGUCUGAGAGGAUGACCAGCCAGACUGGAACUGAGACACGGUCCAGACGCCUAGGGGAGGAAGCAGUGGGGAAUAUUGCACAAUGGGCGCAAGCCUGAUGCAGCCAUGCCGCGUGUAUGAAUAAGGACUGCGGGUUGUAAAGUACUUUCAUCGGGGAGGCGUUACCCGCAGAAGAAGCACCGGCUAACUCCGUGCCAGCCGCCGCGGUAAUAC
rnacentral:rRNA from 1 species